ANNUGCAGUCGAACGAACUUCCGUUAAUUGAUUAUGACGUACUUGUACUGAUUGAGAUUUUAACACGAAGUGAGUGGCGAACGGGUGAGUAACACGUGGGUAACCUGCCCAGAAGUAGGGGAUAACACCUGGAAACAGAUGCUAAUACCGUAUAACAGAGAAAACCGCAUGGUUUUCUUUUAAAAGAUGGCUCUGCUAUCACUUCUGGAUGGACCCGCGGCGUAUUAGCUAGUUGGUGAGGUAAAGGCUCACCAAGGCAGUGAUACGUAGCCGACCUGAGAGGGUAAUCGGCCACAUUGGGACUGAGACACGGCCCAGACUCCUACGGGAGGCAGCAGUAGGGAAUCUUCCACAAUGGACGCAAGUCUGAUGGAGCAACGCCGCGUGAGUGAAGAAGGGUUUCGGCUCGUAAAGCUCUGUUGUUAAAGAAGAACGUGGGUAAGAGUAACUGUUUACCCAGUGACGGUAUUUAACCAGAAAGCCACGGCUAACUACGUGCCAGCAGC
rnacentral:rRNA from 1 species